rnacentral:rRNA from 1 species
AGCGAACGCUGGCGGCAUGCUUAACACAUGCAAGUCGAACGGAUCUUUCGGGAUCAUUGGCGGAUGGGUGAGUAACGCGUAGGGAUCUUUCCAUGGGUGUGGGACAACUCCGGGAAACUGGAGCUAAUACCGCAUGAUACCUGAGGGUCAAAGGCGCAAGUCGCCUGUGGAUGAACCUGCGUUCGAUUAGUUGGUUGGUGGGGUUAAGGCCUACCAAGGCGAUGAUCGAUAGCUGGUUUGAGAGGAUGAUCCGCCACACUGGGACUGAGACACGGCCCAGACUCCUACGGAAGGCAGCAGUGGUGAAUAUUGGACAAUGGGCGAAAGCCUGAUCCAGCAAUGCCGCGUGUGUGAAGAAGGUCGUCGGAUUGUAAAGCACUUUCGACGGGGACGAUGAUGACGGUACCCGUAGAAGAAGCCCCGGCUAACUUCGUG